rnacentral:rRNA from 1 species
UGGGGAAUUUUGGACAAUGGGCGAAAGCCUGAUCCAGCAAUGCCGCGUGUGUGAAGAAGGCCUUCGGGUUGUAAAGCACUUUUGUCCGGAAAGAAAUCCUUGGCUCUAAUACAGUCGGGGGAUGACGGUACCGGAAGAAUAAGCACCGGCUAACUACGUGCCAGCAGCCGCGGUAAUACGUAGGGUGCAAGCGUUAAUCGGAAUUACUGGGCGUAAAGCGUGCGCAGGCGGUUUGCUAAGACCGAUGUGAAAUCCCCGGGCUCAACCUGGGAACUGCAUUGGUGACUGGCAGGCUAGAGUAUGGCAGAGGGGGGUAGAAUUCCACGUGUAGCAGUGAAAUGCGUAGAGAUGUGGAGGAAUACCGAUGGCGAAGGCAGCCCCCUGGGCCAAUACUGACGCUCAUGCACGAAAAGCGUGGGGAGCAAAACAGGAUUAGAUACCCUGGUAGUCCCACGCCCUAAAACGAUGUCAACUAGUUGUUGGGGAUUCAUUUCCUUAGUAACGUAGCUAACGCGUGAAGUUGACCGCCUGGGGAGUACGGUCGCAAGAUUAAAACUCAAAGGAAUUGACGGGGUCAUA